UACGGAGGAUGCAAGCGUUAUCCGGAUUUAUUGGGUUUAAAGGGUGCGUAGGCGGAAGAUUAAGCGUGAGGUGAAAUGCCACAGCUCAACUGUGGAACUGCCUCGCAAACUGGUUUUCUUGAAUGCCCCUGCCGUGGGAGGAAUGUGUGGUGUAGCGGUGAAAUGCAUAGAGAUCACACAGAACACCGAUUGUGAAGUCAUCUCACGAAGGGGCGAUUGACGCUGAGGCACGAAAGCGUGGGGAUCAAAC
rnacentral:rRNA from 1 species